ACUGAAGCUCUGCGACUGCAGAUGGAAGUUCAGAAGCGACUGCAUGAACAGCUUGAGAUUCAAAGAAAUCUGCAGUUACGAAUAGAAGAACAAGGGAAGUAUCUUCAAAUGAUGUUUGAGAAGCAAUGCAAGUCAGGCAUCGACACGCUGAACCCAUCAUCAUCCAAUUUGGACGACCCCUCCGCUCAGCCUUCAGAUGCAACGCAAGUUUGUCUCGACAAAAGUGAACCGGAGUCUUCCAAGUUGGGCCAAGGCGAGACUCAAACUGAUCCAGUUAAAGCCAACUCCACAUCAUCAGGUGGUUCACAGGAACCGGAAGGGAAGCAGAAGGCACCUGAAACGGAAACUGUUCCCCAGAAUCCCGAGCCAGAUGUCGGUGAGGCCAGUUCCCAACCUCCAAGGCGUGCCAAAAUCAAAGAAUAGGUCAUAAAUCAUCUGUUAUAGGUGGUCUAAAAUUUUAAGAUAGGCAUGUUUGCCUUUUGAAAGAUCUUCCGUGAUUUUAAGAAGAGAAAUAUUCACAGAUAUGCAGCAAGCUCUUUUGGCCAAGGGAUCCGACUUUAAAUGUUCUUUGCUUCAUUACUUUUACAAGCUUGAUUACUAUUGUAAUAAAUUCAAGGGUAAAAGACUGUUAACUACCCUCAUGUUUCGUGGUUUUCAACAUUUAGUACAUCAAGUUUUUUU